GACGGAGGGGGCUAGCGUUGUUCGGAAUUACUGGGCGUAAAGGGCGCGUAGGCGGCUCUUCAAGUUAGGCGUGAAAGCCCUGGGCUUAACCUAGGAAUUGCGUUUAAUACUGGAGAGCUAGAGAUUGGUAGAGGGAAAUGGAAUUCCUAGUGUAGAGGUGAAAUUCGUAGAUAUUAGGAAGAACACCAGAGGCGAAGGCGGUUUCCUGGGCCAAUACUGACGCUGAGGCGCGAAAGCGUGGGGAGCAAACAGG
rnacentral:rRNA from 1 species